rfam:Alloactinosynnema sp. L-07 genome assembly, chromosome: I
GGAGAGGUGCCCGGAGCGGUUUAUCGGGGCCGGUUUCGAUCGGCGGGUUAACGCCUACGCAGGUUCAAAUCCUGCCCUCUCCG